rnacentral:rRNA from 2 species
UGGGGGAUAUUGCGCAAUGGGGGCAACCCUGACGCAGCAACGCCGCGUGAAGGAUGAAGGUUUUCGGAUUGUAAACUUCUUUUAUUAAGGACGAAACUUGACGGUACUUAAUGAAUAAGCUCCGGCUAACUACGUGCCAGCAGCCGCGGUAAUACGUAGGGAGCAAGCGUUGUCCGGAUUUACUGGGUGUAAAGGGUGCGUAGGCGGCUUUGCAAGUCAGAUGUGAAAUCUAUGGGCUCAACCCAUAAACUGCAUUUGAAACUGUAGGGCUUGAGUGAAGUAGAGGCAGGCGGAAUUCCCCGUGUAGCGGUGAAAUGCGUAGAGAUGGGGAGGAACACCAGUGGCGAAGGCGGCCUGCUGGGCUUUAACUGACGCUGAGGCACGAAAGCGUGGGUAGCAAACAGGAUUAGAUACCCUGGUAGUCCACGCUGUAAACGAUGAUUACUAGGUGUGGGGGUCUGACCCCUUCCGUGCCGGAGUUAACACAAUAAGUAAUCCACCUGGGGAGUACGGCCGCAAGGUUGAAACUCAAAGGAAUUGACGGGGGCCCGCACAAGCAGUGGAGUAUGUGGUUUAAUUCGAAGCAACGCGAAGAACCUUACCAGGUCUUGACAUCCAACUAACGAAGUAGAGAUACAUUAGGUGCCCUUCGGGGAAAGUUGAGACAGGUGGUGCAUGGUUGUCGUCAGCUCGUGUCGUGAGAUGUUGGGUUAAGUCCCGCAACGAGCGCAACCCUUGCUAUUAGUUGCUACGCAAGAGCACUCUAAUAGGACUGCCGUUGACAAAACGGAGGAAGGUGGGGACGACGUCAAAUCAUCAUGCCCCUUAUGACCUGGGCUACACACGUACUACAAUGGAUGUUAACAGAGGGAAGCAAGACAGCGAUGUGGAGCAAACCCCUAAAAACAUUCUCAGUUCAGAUUGCAGGCUGCAACCCGCCUGCAUGAAGAUGGAAUUGCUAGUAAUCGCGGAUCAGCAUGCCGCGGUGAAUACGUUCCC